AACGAACGCUGGCGGCAGGCUUAACACAUGCAAGUCGAACGGGCAUAGCAAUAUGUCAGUGGCAGACGGGUGAGUAACGCGUGGGAAUCUACCCUUUUCUACGGAAUAACGCAGGGAAACUUGUGCUAAUACCGUAUAAGCCCCCCUUUAAAAUACCAGGAAGGUUUGGAUGUCCUGGGAUUUCGUGGGGGGGAAAGAUUUAUCGGGAAAGGAUGAGCCCGCGUUGGAUUAGCUAGUUGGUGGGGUAAAGGCCUACCAAGGCGACGAUCCAUAGCUGGUCUGAGAGGAUGAUCAGCCACAUUGGGACUGAGACACGGCCCAAACUCCUACGGGAGGCAGCAGUGGGGAAUAUUGGACAAUGGGCGCAAGCCUGAUCCAGCCAUGCCGCGUGAGUGAUGAAGGCCCUAGGGUUGUAAAGCUCUUUCACCGAUGAAGAUAAUGACGGUAGUCGGAGAAGAAGCCCCGGCUAACUUCGUGCCAGCAGCCGCGGUAAGA
rnacentral:rRNA from 1 species